rnacentral:misc_RNA from 1 species
ACGCCCAGUGCUGUACGGAGC